AUUUUAGGUCUGUGAUCCAUUUUGAGUUUACUUUGUUAUAUGGUAUAAGAUAAAGGUUGAGAUUCAUUUUUUCAAUCUAUUUAGUUGAUCCAGCACCAUUUGAAAAGACUAUUUUUUUCCCCAUUCAGUUACCUUGACACCUUUGUUGAAAGUCAGUUGACGUGUUUUUUUUUUUUUUUUUUUUUUUGCGGUACGCGGGCCUCUCACUGUUGUGGCCUCUCCCGUUGCGGAGCACAGGCUCCGGAUGCGCAGGCUCAGCGGCCAUGGCUCACAGGCUCAGCCGCUCCACGGCAUGUGGUAUCUUCCCAGACUGGGGCACGAACCCGUGUCCCCUGCAUCGGCAGGCAGACUCUCAACCACUGCACCACCAGGGAAGCCCAUCAGUUGACCUUUUGUGUCAAUUUAUUUUUGGAUUCUAUAUUCUGUUCCAUUGACAUAUAUGUGUAUAUUUAAAUCAAUACCACGUUGUCCUGAUUACUUUAUAGUAAAUCUUGAAGUUAUGUAGUGUGAGCCCUCAAACUUUCUUCUUUUUCAAAAUUGUUUUGCUAUUUCAAAUUCUUUGUAUUUCCAUGUAAAUUUUUGUAAAAAGCUUGUAUAGUUCUACAAAGAAUAGUGCUGGAACUUAGAUUAGGAUUGCAUUGAAUCUAUAGAUCAGUUUGGGAAAGAAUAGACCUCUUAAUGAUAUGCAGCCUUUCAAUCCAUUAACAUGGUAUAUCCCUUUAUUUAUUUAGGUUUUCUUUAAUUUUUCUCAGCAAUGUUAGUCAUCUUCAUUUGUAAUCACACAUAUUAAAUUAAAUUUGUCCCCAAGUACUUUAUGUUUGUUGAUGUUAUUGUUAAUUUAAUUUUAAAUUAUUUAUUGGUAAUGUAUAGAAAUACAAUUAAUUUACAUACAGUUGACCCUUAAACAAUGUGGGUUUCAAUUUCACAGGUCCACUUUUGCUGGAUGUGUUAAUUAGUUUGAUUAUGGUAAUCAUUUUACAAUGUAUACAUAUAUCAAAUUAUUAUAUCAUGUUGUACACUUUAAAUAUAUUAAUUUUUUGUCAAUUAGUCCUCAAUAAACCUGGGAAGAAGAAUGAGAAAGCAAUGCAGCCCUAUUGACAUCUUGAUUUUAGUUCAGUGAAAUUUGUGUUGAACAUCUGACAGAGCUGUAAGAGAAUAAAUUUAUAUUGGUUUAAGCUUCUAAGUUUGUGGUAAAGUUGUUAUAGCAGCAAUAAAAAAUCAAUACAGAUAUGCUUAUAUGGGAUUUUUUUUGCCCGAUAAAGGAAGCGUAUGUGCCUCUAUGAAAAAAACUACAAAGCUCUGCUGAGAAAAUGUGAAGCGAUAAAGAUGUAUACAUGUCGCUGUAAAAGAAUAAAAAAUUGUUAAUAUAAUGGACCUUCUUAAAUUGAUUUAUAAAUUUAAUUUACUCAACAUAAAAAUUCCACAGGACUUUUUUGGGUAAAAUUUUCAAUAAUAUUCUAAAAUUUAUAUGAAGAAAUAGGUGAAAAUAGUUAAGAAGGUGCUUGGAUUUAUAUAAUUUCAGAGUGCUAAUUUCCUGAAUUAACUAACAUCCCUCUUUGGGAGAAGUAUAACAAUUUAUUGUCAAAUGGGCAAGUCCAAAUCAAGAAGACUCCAUGUCAAAUUCCUUAGGUAAAGAGAAUGAUGAUGUAUUGUGACCAAAGGGAGCAGGAUUAGAGGACCCUAUAGAUGGUCAGAGAGCUGCCAUAUAAAAUAGUUAUACCAAUUUUAAUGGAAAUAAUGGAAUGAAAUAGAAUAUGCUUAAUAAUAAAAAUAUAUCUAAUCUUUCUUUGAUUAUCUGAAAGGAAUCAGAAUUGACUGAGGCCUUUGGGUUAUUAUUCUACCAACUUCUGUUAACUUGUAGAGAUAAUGCUUAUGAGUACUUUAGGGAAUUGUGUUCCAGAUAAUAUGGACAUCCACAUACACAACACUGAGGGAGUGACUCACUAUCUCUGGCUAAAAGGUAAGAAAUGACUGAAAUGACAGAAAGUACUCAAAAGAAUAAAGAAUAAGAAGCAGUUUAAAUCCGGAGCCUGUGCUCCGCAACGGGAGAGGCCACAACAGUGAGAGGCCCGCGUACCGGUAAAAAAAAAAGAAGUUUAUUAAACUGCGGGAUGCUCAUGAAAAUAUCUAAACACCAUUACAUGCAAAUUGACAAAAAAAUGUAGCAUAUUGUCAAUCCCCUCCAAUUUUCAUAUAUAGCCCAAGUCAAAACGAAAGGUUUAUGUAUUUGUGAUGAAAUUAGGCCCAGAUAUCACUACUACACACAUAUGAAAAACUGAGAAAAAUGAUCUAAUUAUCCCUCUACAUUCUGGACUUUUAUAUGUAUAGAUUUUCACACUCGUUAGUACCUUUUAUGCAGAAGUAAAUUCCUAAGGCCUUAUUUGUUUAUUUCUAUUAUGGCAAUAUUAGUUACUCUAUUGCAGAGAAGAUGAUUGUAAACUGAGGAAUUCAGCUGUCUAUUACAAAGUUGCUGAACAAAUUUCUAUAUGAUAAAUAAUGAUCCUUGUCUCCUCUUUAAAGUAAGUCAACCACAGAACCAAGAGUCAAGAUAUCUUCAUUUUACUCUUUACUCUUCUACUUAUUUAAUGAACACAUUUUAUCUUAUCCCUGAGUCUAAAAAGCUAUUUCUGUGAAUUGGAGAAUAAAUGCUUUUUUUUUUAA